rnacentral:rRNA from 1 species
GUUGUAUGGUUAAGUGACUAAGCGUACACGGUGGAUGCCUUGGCAGUUGGAGGCGAUGAAGGACGUACUAACUUGCGAUAAGCCUAGUUGAGCCAGUAAGAGGCGCUUGAGACUAGGAUUUCCGAAUGGGGAAACCCGGCCCUUUGGGUCAUCAUGCAGUGAAUACAUAGCUGUAUGAAGCGAACGCGGAGAACUGAAACAUCUAAGUACCCGUAGGAAAAGAAAUCAACCGAGAUUCCGAAAGUAGCGGCGAGCGAAAUCGGAUUAGCCCUUAAGCUUUAAUGUAGUUAGUGGAACAUUCUGGAAAGUAUGACGAUACAGGGUGACAGUCCCGUACACGACAACUUAUUUAAAGUGAAAUCGAGUAGGUCGGAGCACGUGAAACUUUGACUGAAUAUGGGGGGACCAUCCUCCAAGGCUAAAUACUCCCAACUGACCGAUAGUGAACCAGUACCGUGAGGGAAAGGCGAAAAGAACCCCUGUGAGGGGAGUGAAAUAGAACCUGAAACCGUGUACGUACAAGCAGUAGGAGCCCUUCGAGGGUGACUGCGUACCUUUUGUAUAAUGGGUCAGCGACUUAUAUUCUGUAGCAAGGUUAACCAUUUAGGGGAGCCGUAGCGAAAGCGAGUCUUAACUGGGCGCUUAAGUUGCAGGGUAUAGACCCGAAACCCGGUGAUCUAGCCAUGGGCAGGUUGAAGGUCAGGUAACACUGACUGGAGGACCGAACCCACUAACGUUGAAAAGUUAGGGGAUGACCUGUGGCUAGGAGUGAAAGGCUAAUCAAACCGGGAGAUAGCUGGUUCUCCCCGAAAUCUAUUUAGGUAGAGCCUCGGACGAAUACUUACGGGGGUAGAGCACUGUUAAGGCUAGGGGGUCAUCCCGACUUACCAACCCUUUGCAAACUCCGAAUACCGUAAAGUACUAUCCGGGAGACACACGGUGGGUGCUAACGUCCAUCGUGGAGAGGGAAACAACCCAGACCGUCAGCUAAGGUCCCAAAGUGUAUGUUAAGUGGGAAACGAUGUGGGAAGGCUAAAACAGCUAGGAGGUUGGCUUAGAAGCAGCCAUCCUUUAAAGAAAGCGUAAUAGCUCACUAGUCGAGUCGGCCUGCGCGGAAGAUGUAACGGGGCUAAACAUACCACCGAAGCUACGGCUGCAUACUUUGUAUGCGGGGUAGGGGAGCGUUCUGUAAGCGGCUGAAGGUGAACUGUAAGGUUUGCUGGACGUAUCAGAAGUGCGAAUGCUGACAUGAGUAACGAUAAUGCGGGUGAAAAACCCGCACGCCGGAAGACCAAGGGUUCCUAUCCCAUGUUAAUCAGGGUAGGGUGAGUCGACCCCUAAGGCGAGGCUGAAGAGCGUAGUCGAUGGGAAACGGGUUAAUAUUCCCGUACUUGGUAUAAAUGCGAUGGGGGGACGGAGCAGGCUAGGCAAGCAUGGCGUUGGUUGUCCAUGUGAAAGGCUGUAGGCUGGUGACUUAGGAAAAUCCGGGUCGCUAAGGCUGAGAGUCGAGACGAGCCACUACGGUGGUGAAGUUGUUGAUGCCCUACUUCCAGGAAAAGCCUCUAAGCUUCAGUUUAUAUCGAAUCGUACCCUAAACCGACACAGGUGGUCAGGUAGAGAAUACUAAGGCGCUUGAGAGAACUCGGGUGAAGGAACUAGGCAAAAUUGUACCGUAACUUCGGGAGAAGGUACGCUCUUACUUGUGAAGACUUCGCGUCGUAAGCAGGCGAGAGCCGCAGUGACCAGGUGGCUGGGACUGUUUAUUAAAAACACAGCACUGUGCAAAAUCGUAAGAUGACGUAUACGGUGUGACACCUGCCCGGUGCCGGAAGGUUAAUUGAUGGGGUUAGCUUAGGCGAAGCUCUUGAUCGAAGCCCCGGUAAACGGCGGCCGUAACUAUAACGGUCCUAAGGUAGCGAAAUUCCUUGUCGGGUAAGUUCCGACCUGCACGAAUGGUGUAACCAUGGCCACGCUGUCUCCACCCGAGACUCAGUGAAAUUGAAAUCGCAGUGAAGAUGCUGUGUACCCGCGGCUAGACGGAAAGACCCCGUGAACCUUUACUACAGCUUGGCACUGAACAUUGACCCUACAUGUGUAGGAUAGGUGGGAGGCUUUGAAGCGCAGUCGCUAGAUUGCGUGGAGCCGUCCUUGAAAUACCACCCUUGUAGUGUUGAUGUUCUAACUUAGGCCCCUAAUCGGGGUUGAGGACAGUGCCUGGUGGGUAGUUUGACUGGGCGGUCUCCUCCCAAAGAGUAACGGAGGAGCACGAAGGUUGGCUAAGUACGGUCGGACAUCGUACGGUUAGUGUAAUGGUAGAAGCCAGCUUAACUGCGAGACAGACACGUCGAGCAGGUACGAAAGUAGGUCAUAGUGAUCCGGUGGUUCUGAAUGGAAGGGCCAUCGCUCAACGGAUAAAAGGUACUCCGGGGAUAACAGGCUGAUACCGCCAAGAGUUCAUAUCGACGGCGGUGUUUGGCACCUCGAUGUCGGCUCAUCACAUCCUGGGGCUGAAGUCGGUCCCAAGGGUAUGGCUGUUCGCCAUUUAAAGUGGUACGCGAGCUGGGUUUAGAACGUCGUGAGACAGUUCGGUCCCUAUCUGCCGUGGGCGUUUGAGAAUUGAGAGGGGCUGCUCCUAGUACGAGAGGACCGGAGUGGACGAACCGCUGGUGUUCGGGUUGUCAUGCCAAUGGCAUUGCCCGGUAGCUACGUUCGGAAUCGAUAACCGCUGAAAGCAUCUAAGCGGGAAGCGAGCCUCGAGAUGAGUUCUCACUUUAACUUUAAGUUAACUGAAGGGCCGUUGAAGACUACAACGUUGAUAGGCGAGAUGUGGAAGUGGUGUGAGCCAUUGAGCUAACUCGUACUAAUUACCCGUGAGGCUUAACCAUACAACGCCAAAGUGGUUU